GUGGUGCUUCAGUGAGUGGAAAACCUGGUCUUAAUGGGGCAAUCAGAUGGCACCACAUGGAGAAAAGAAGGAAUCACACACCUCAGCAACGACUGGAUGGUUUUUCUUUUUCAGGUAAUGGAGAGAGAGCAGGCAGAAGAG
rnacentral:lncRNA from 1 species